AAACGUAGGUCACAAGCGUUGUCCGGAAUUACUGGGUGUAAAGGGAGCGCAGGCGGGAAGACAAGUUGGAAGUGAAAUCUAUGGGCUCAACCCAUAAACUGCUUUCAAAACUGUUUUUCUUGAGUAGUGCAGAGGUAGGCGGAAUUCCCGGUGUAGCGGUGGAAUGCGUAGAUAUCGGGAGGAACACCAGUGGCGAAGGCGGCCUACUGGGCACCAACUGACGCUGAGGCUCGAAAGUGUGGGUAGCAAACAGGAUUAGAUACCCUGGUAGUCCACACCGUAAACGAUGAUUACUAGGUGUUGGAGGAUUGACCCCUUCAGUGCCGCAGUUAACACAAUAAGUAAUCCACCUGGGGAGUACGACCGCAAGGUUGAAACUCAAAGGAAUUGACGGGGGCCCGCACAAGCAGUGGAGUAUGUGGUUUAAUUCGACGCAACGCGAAGAACCUUACCAAGUCUUGACAUCCUGCGACGGACAUAGAAAUAUGUUUUUCCUUCGGGACGCAGAGACAGGUGGUGCAUGGUUGUCGUCAGCUCGUGUCGUGAGAUGUUGGGUUAAGUCCCGCAACGAGCGCAACCCUUACUGUCAGUUACUACGCAAGAGGACUCUGGCAGGACUGCCGUUGACAAAACGGAGGAAGGUGGGAUGACGUCAAAUCAUCAUGCCCUUUAUGACUUGGGCUACACACGUACUACAAUGGCGUUAAACAAAGAGAAGCAAGACCGCGAGGUGGAGCAAAACUCAGAAACAACGUCCCAGUUCGGACUGCAGGCUGCAACUCGCCUGCACGAAGUCGGAAUUGCUAGUAAUCGUGGAUCAGCAUGCCACGGUGAAUACGUUCCCGGGCCUUGUACACACCGCCCGUCACACCAUGAGAGCCGGGGGGACCCGAAGUCGGUAGUCUAACCGCAAGGAGGACGCCGCCGAAGGUAAAACUGGUGAUUGGGGUG
rnacentral:rRNA from 1 species